AUGGGAACAGCACAACAGUACCACAGCGAAUCAAAGUAUGAUAGUGCCCCGCGGCAGCUGGUGGCCGCCCUGCUCCUGCUGCGGCAUGAGGACCCGGGGCCGGGGGCUGGCCCUAGCAAGGCCGAAACAGAAGCACUAUCGAAGCUUUGAAAAGACUUCAGGAUGCAGAAAAAACCCGUCUUUGUUUUGGGCACCAGCAGAGAAACCGGCAGAGUGCUCUUAAAGGAAAUCCUGGAGCAGGCCCUGUUUUCCAAAGUCACGCUUAUUGGCAGGAGGAAGCUCACCUUCGAGGAGGAACCUUAUAAAAAUGUGAAUCAAGAAGUGGUGGACUUUGAAAAGUUGGAUGACUAUGCUUCUGCCUUUCAAGGUCAUGAUGUUGGAUUCUGUUGCCUGGGUACCACCAGAGCGAAAGCCGGGGUGGUGGGAUUUGUUCGGGUUGACCGAGAUUAUGUGCUUAGGUCUGCAGAGCUGGCAAAACCUGGAGGGUGCAAACAUUUCAGCUUGCUAUCCUCUAAAAGAGCUGAUAAGUCAAGCAGUUUUUUAUAUCUGCAAGUUAAGGGAGAAGUGGAAGCCAAGGCUGAAGAAUUAAAAUUUGAACGUUACUCUGUAUUUAGGCCUGGAGCUCUGUUAUGUGAUAGGCAAGAAUCUCACCCAGGUGAAUGGUUCGUUAGAAAGUUCUUUGGCUCCUUAGUUCUUGGGCUAGUGGGCAUUCUGUGCCUGUGGCGACUGUGGUUAGAGCAAUGCUGAACAAUGCAGUGACACCACGCGACAAGAAGAUGGAACUGCUGGAGAACAAGGCCAUCCACGAUCUGGGGAAAGCGGAUGGCUCUCUCAAGCCGUGACCACACUGGAGCAUCCAUUCCAAUCAAGAAAUGACGGUGCUCUGCAUCAGUGGUUCAGAGCCUGUUAUACAUAUAGAUCACCCAGGGAGCUUUGGAAAAAUAAAGAUUUGUAAUCCCUA